UACAGAGGGUGCAACCGUUGUUCGGAAUUACUGGGCGUAAAGCGAGUGUAGGCGGUUUUGUAAGUCGGGUGUGAAAGCCCUGGGCUCAACCCAGGAAGUGCACUCGAAACUGCAAGGCUAGAGUAUCGGAGAGGUUGGUGGAAUUCUCGGUGUAGAGGUGAAAUUCGUAGAUAUCGAGAGGAACACCGGUGGCGAAGGCGGCCAACUGGACGAAUACUGACGCUGAGACUCGAAAGCGUGGGGAGCAAACAGG
rnacentral:rRNA from 1 species